UUUUUUUUUUCUCAUAGAAUAAGAGGAGAAAGGAGAAGAGAAAAAGAUUCUGUAGAAGAAAAAGAUUAAGAGUUUCUACCACCGAAAUCUUUGCAUACGGGUUCGCCAAGGUCCAUUCAUAACACUAGUUUCUUCGAUUGUCUUCUCCAAUGGUUGUACUGGGGGUUUUUCUAGUAUCGCUAGUUGAUCGAUUGUGCACAAGUGCAACAUGUAUAAUAGAGAUAUUUGGGUGGACAGUCAAAAGAUACAGACCAUUUUUGUUGGGAAGUUCGGCGCAACCAAACACUCCAUUGGUAAUGAGACAAAUGAAAAUCGUACAUUGUAUAAUUUUGAAGACUCCAUUAUACCUGAAUCAUUUAUCAUCACUGCAUAUGAUGAUUUCAGUAUGAUUUCCAAUCCUCCUUUGGGAGGUUAUACAGCUCCUGAGUAUGCAAUUCUAGGAAAGUUGUCUGAGAAGGCGGACAUAUACAGCUUAGGCAUUCUGCCGCUCGAGAUUGUUGGUUGCAGGAAAAACAAAAAUCUUACUCUGCCAUCAGAAAUGCAGCAUUUUCCUGAAUAUGUAUUCUUUCAAGCUUUCCUGUCCUUUACUUUCCUUGUUCAUGUUUUUAGGCAUGUAAGCUUUAUGAAAGAUCAAGGGUCAUUGAUCUGGUGGAUCCCAAUCUUUGACAAGAUGUGUAUGUGGAAAAAGACAUCUUAAAAGC